AUACUUACCUGGCAGGGGAGAUACCACGAUCAGGAAGAAAGGUAGUUUCCUCGGGGUGAAGCUCACCCAUUGCACUCUGGGUGUGCUGACCCCUGUGAUUUCCCCAAAUGUGGGAAACUCUACUGCACAUUUUAUGGUAGUUGGGGACUACGUUAGAACUCUCCCCUA